UUUAAUGUAUGAAAUUCACUUUAUAAUUCUUUUAAAAUCUGUAAGGUAUGAAUGUAUGAAAUUUAUUUUAUAAAUUAAGAUACUAUGCAGAACUAUUUAAAAUUUUAAAAUAUAAAGUUUAUGAGAGCAAAGAAUAAUAAUAAUAAUAAUAAUAAUAAUAAUAAUAAUAACAAUAAUAAAAUGAGUUAAUUAAAGGUUUAAAGAUGGAAAGAAUAGUUUUGCAAAUGUAAUUAUAUUAAUUAUUGUUUUGUUUAAUUAGAUCGAACGGAGGGAGUCUAAACGAGUAAUAUUUGGAAUAUAAAUUUUGGGUAUUACAGUACUUAUUCCAGGUACGGAUUCCGUACUUUUUCAGCGAGACUCUUUUGUUUUUAAUCUGUUCGUUUCGUUAUUCGUUUCGAAAUUUAGUAUUGCAUCUCAUAAUUAUUCCUUGACAAUUUAUUUUGAUAGUUCGUUUUGGUGUUCUGUGUUCAUAGUUGGAACUCAUAUUUGUACUCUUUAGACUAGUACAACAUGUCUAAAUUUAUUUUGAUAGUUCCGUCUUGGUAUUGAUACUUAGAACUCGUGUUUGUACUCUUGAUCUAGUGUAUCAUCUUUUGUAUUUAUUUUGAUUCUCGUAGAAAGUACAUGUCAAUAUUUUUGGAGACUUUGAGUUGAUGAUUCAUUUCAGUUUAACACGUACAUAUUAGAAACCCUUUUUGAUGAUAUUAUGUCGUAUGUGUUGUGACAUGGUAUCCUUGUUAAAAUACCGUAGGGUAUACUUGAGCUAUAACCACCUGUGGGGGUACCACAGGCAUGUCCUCUUGGCACCGAGGCAUGACACCUUCCGUGGCGGUGUGAUCAAUCCACGGCGUCUCCGUUUUGUGCUCCGGUGGGAGUUGGCCAUUUGGUGUUUUGUUAUGGGAAGCGUAUGGGUCGACCCUAGUUUUCUGUUCUGUUCUGUUCUGCGGAGUGAUGAUGUUUGUGCCAAACACGCCUUCCGAUUUUGCACGCAUCUGGAUUGCGCAGUCCGAUGUGUGAUUGCAUGUGUGGCAUUAUUUUGAUUGCCUGUGUGACAUUAUUUGACUUGCCUGUGUGGCAAGGUAUAUUACUAUUUGUUUUGAGCUCGGUAUGAAAUAACACCCAGCCAUUUGAUUCAGCCUAUUAUUUCGUUGUGUUAGUUUUGUUUGUUUCAGUUCAGUUCAAUAAAUUGAGUUAGUUAUUUCGAUUCAUUAUUUAUAUUCUAUAUCCAUACUGGGCAUUUGGCUCAUGCUGUAUUUUUCUUCCGACAAGUAAUCAGGGGAAUCAAGGGCAAGUGUGACGAGAGCUCCCUUCUAUCCAAUAGUUUUGAUAUAUUUUGUUAUGCUAUAAUACAUUGAUUUAUUUAGAGUUGUAAUAGUUGUUUCUUAUUGUGGUUUGAGCCAGUGUGGCAUUUAUUAUGGUUUUUCUUAUAACAUUUAAUCAUUAUGAGAUUAUUCUUUUGUGGUUUAGAGCCUUGUUAUAUAUAUUCAUUAGUUUUGUUGUGUUUUGAGUAACCUCUCUUUCUAUUUCGGAAAGGGGGUGUUACAUAGAUUAUCUAAUCUUAAGCUGAAUUUGUCAAAUAAAUGGCAUAGCAGUUCCAUAUGGUAAGAGCCUAAAUUGAUUGUAAGAUCAAGGACAUAUAUCUUAC
rnacentral:lncRNA from 1 species